AAAAAAAGAGCUUCACAGUCUAUAAUAUUUCAAACAAAACAAAAGCAUCCUUUACCUAAUACUAGAUAUUUGUUUCUACCUGAUCCUGAAUCAAAUCUUGAGGAAGCUGCCAUUGUUUUUCUGAUUAUUUCUAGGUAAUAAAAAUGCCCUAAGCUUACUUUUAGCUACUAGACAAUCGCCUGUACCUUCCUUACUAAAAUAAGUCUAGUUUUGUAGCAUCUAAAAAUUCAUAGUGAUAUCCAAGUUGGAACUCCUCAUUCCCAGCUUAGGCCUACCUGGGAAAAUUGCAGUGGAGAAGUGGGACCUCACCUAAAAUUCACAGUCUGGGUCACAAUGGAAACUCUCUUAUGGGUCUAAAUCAUUAAAAGUUAUCAUAAGGCUAAUAAAUUAUUUAAAACAUUUGUCACCUAUCUUUCUAACAAUGUGGAAGACUAGGUUGGAAUUUAGAACUCUAAAUUUAGAACUAGGUUGGAAUUUAGAAUUUAGAAUUGAGGACCAUAAGAGAAACAGCUUUCAACCCACUCUUCUCUACAGAUAUCCAAGCCCAAGCACCUGAUCACUGUCUUUCCCAAGCAGUAAUCAGAUAUUCCAUGGCAUGUCACUGAUCCCAGGUGUGUGCCCACUAGUGACACAGUGACACAUGGGAGGACAGAUAUGGAGAAGGGGCUCACAUGGGGCCUAGAAGUAUGCUGGGUACCAUUUGGGCAGACCAUUCUGGGUUCUGGAUUAUCUUCAGCAUGGUCUAGAAAGGGGAAUAAGUCUCCAGAUGAUGUUUAGAGUUCUAUAAGAAAAGAAACUACACACCUGACACAGUUCAGGAAAGGUCACAUAUUUAGAGCCAUCUCAUCUACGACAAAACCAUCUUCUACCUGUGUUUUACCUUUUACUUGUGACUACCGUUUCUCAAGGCAUCAUUUCUCACAACGGCAACUCUUGUGCUGCAUUCCUCUUCUAAGUGCUGCUAGCUCCUGCCUUCCAAUAUUGCUCUUGAAGGAUUCACUGCCUAGGCUGUGAGAAUGUAGCAUUAAGGCAUACACAACUGGGAAAUAGUAGCUGACAAUGGACUAAAGGUAUGAGAAGCAAAGUGACUCCAACAAAAACAGUGUGCUCACUGUAAACAACAAAUAAUGACAAAACCUCCAGCAGCAAGAGAGGCAAAUGGCUCUCUCGAUAAUCUUGAUGGAAAGCACUGUUCACGGCUCCUUCAUCUUUUAGACAAAGGAUGGCACCACGUGCAAGGCUCAGUGGGCUCCCAGAUCAGCCCUCUUUUCUUGAAAAGUAGGAAAGAAGAAAAUGUGCUCUUAAAAGGAAUCAAAGGCUCUGGAGCUGU
rnacentral:lncRNA from 1 species